UACGGAGGUGGCAAGCGUUGCUCGGAAUCACUGGGCGUAAAGGGCGCGUAGGCGGGGAGGUAAGUCGGGGUGUGAAAUCCCUCGGCCCAACCGAGGAACUGCGCCCGAGACUGCUUCUCUUGAGUCCCGGAGAGGAAGGUGGAAUUCCCGGUGUAGCGGUGAAAUGUGUAGAGAUCGGGAGGAACACCGGUGGCGAAGGCGGCCUUCUGGACGGUGACUGACGCUGAGGCGCGAAAGCGUGGGGAGCAAACGGG
rnacentral:rRNA from 1 species